GACGAACGCUGGCGGCGUGCUUAACACAUGCAAGUCGAACGAUGAAGCCCAGCUUGCUGGGUGGAUUAGUGGCGAUCGGGUGAGUAACACGUGAGUAACCUGCCCUGGACUCUGGGAUAACCCCGAGAAAUCGGAGCUAAUACCGGAUAGGACCUUGGAUCGCAUGAUUCUUGGUGGAAAGUUUUUCGGUUUGGGAUGGACUCGCGGCCUAUCAGCUUGUUGGUGAGGUAAUGGCUCACCAAGGCGUCGACGGGUAGCCGGCCUGAGAGGGUGACCGGCCACACUGGGACUGAGACACGGCCCAGACUCCUACGGGAGGCAGCAGUGGGGAAUAUUGCACAAUGGGCGCAAGCCUGAUGCAGCAACGCCGCGUGCGGGAUGACGGCCUUCGGGUUGUAAACCGCUUUUAGUAAGGAAGAAGGGGCUUCGGCCUUGACGGUACUUGCAGAAAAAGGACCGGCUAACUACGUGCCAGCCGCCGCAGUAAUAC
rnacentral:rRNA from 1 species